rnacentral:tRNA from 1 species
GGAGAGGUGUCCGAGCGGCCGAAGGAGCGCGCCUGGAAAGCGCGUAGACGGGUUUCCCGUCUCGAGGGUUCAAAUCCCUCUCUCUCCG